rnacentral:lncRNA from 1 species
UUUGCUUUCUCAUUCUUGGCCAUAACUUUCUCAUCUAUUCUUCUUUAUAUUUGGCCGAACAUACUGAGACAGAAAGGAAAGCACUUUGAGUUUUAGUUAAAGGAGGAGUAGUGUUCAAGGUGAAAAGCAAAUAAGGAGGUGCCAAGGUAAGUAAUAUAUAUAUAUAUAUAUAUAUAUAUAUAUAUAGUGGACUAUCUUUUUGGACAAAGGGAGUACAAUCAUUUGAAUACAGUAUUUGCCUUCCAUUUGUUAUAUUUGCUUAUCAAAUACAUCUGAAAUUCUGUAUUCUUGGACAGUAAAAGUUGAAGGAGUUGUGAAAUGUAAGGCUAAGAUGGAGGAACACAUGCUGGAGAUUUGGAGUUCUGUUAGUAAUUUGCAGGCAUCAAAGAGAUAUGUAAAUUAAUUUAAGGACUUUGAGAAGAAUGGUUGAAACAAGGGGCUUAAAUAUGAUUUUACGCAUUUAAACAUAGUUUGGAUGUCCUUAAGCAAAGUAUGCUUUUAAUUGAAUUCUAGGGUUCUUGAAAAUGAAUUUAUGAAUUUGGAGUUUUUAUAAUUAAGUAAAUCUAAUUAGAAUUUGAGAUUAUGAUAAUUUGUUUAAAUUGGUUUAACGGUGAGUUUAUGUUUGGAAUUGAAGUGACGAAAUCUUUUUGGUUUGGUGUUGUUGAUGGUUCGGCCAAAUUGAGAAGUUUUGAAGGGAUGAUGUCUAAUGGCUGAGUCUGUAGUUUAACAGUAAUAUAUGAUGAGCUAAUGAAGAAUAUAGAAUUAAAAUUUCAUGAUUGAUGGAAGGAGAUAACAAAGAUUAACUUAUUGAAAGGUUAUUAAAAAUAAGUUGCCUGAAAAUUCAGUCACAAAUAUUGACUUAUUUAAAUAGGUAAAUGAACUCUAAAAAUUAUAAAAUUUUAUAGAGAACUAUUUUAGGAUGUUGAAAGGUUGGGAUAAAAGAGCAAGUGCAAUGGAUAAAGAAAAAUGGAGUUAUAGCUAAAUAGAUGCAGGCUGCUCGGUGGAAAGCCCGACUGAAAUUUAGGUACUCUGAUUAGGCUAUUUGACUAUGCAAAUGAACUCUAAAAAUUAUGAAAUUAUAUAUGGAAGUAUCCUGAGAUGUGAGGAAGAUGCUGCAAAAAUUUCAGGAUAAACAAAUUUAAAAAACUAGAGAUAUAGCCAAAGGAAGUCUGACUGCUCUUGUGAUCAAAACCUUGUAUACUAUUAGUUAGUAAUGAAUUUAGCAUACUUUUAAGUUAUUAUUUUAGUUAUUAUUUUUAUGAUUCUAGGAUGAGAUUAAGUAUUAGAAAUAAAAGAGUUCAUGCCUAAAAUAAAGAUAAAUGGUACUUGGUCAAGAAUAGAGAAAUUAAAGGAAAAACAUGAAUACUACAUUCUCAUGCUUAAAUUUGCAUCCUUAUGGUAAUAUGUGUAGGUCUAAUAUGUAGUAUGGAGUUAAUAUAAAUAUUAAUUUCAUGCUACAGCUUCUAAGAGGAGAUAAUUAGAAAGAGAAGUUAAUAGGUAAAGGAGAGGAGCUAGGGGAGUCUUCUAGCUCAUGUUAGUGCAUUAUAUCUAUAAUUUAUACUGUUUAAGUGAUAAGUAAAAUAGUUUUAAAAAAUAUUUUAUGAAAAGUUACAAGGUAAAGAAAGCAAAUGUUUAUAUCAAAUGAACUUUUACAAGAGAAAAAGUUGACUUAUUUAUCAAAUGUUUAUAUCAAAUGAAAUUGAAUUCAAAUGUGAUUAUUGCAAUUGUGAAUUGAGUAUAAAGAAAGCAAAUGCUAAAGUUAUAGUUAAAUGUUUACACAAAAUACUAAAGAGCUAAUGUUAAAUGUUUUAUAAUAGUUGGAAAUGAAUUUCAAAGUCCUCAUUUGAAUGGAAAAUGGAGGAUGAUUUUGAAAGAAUGGAUAUAGAAAUUUUGAACAAAAUGAAAUGCUGCUCAUUAUAACUAAGGAUUAAUUUAUAAUGGAGAAGUUUUAAGAGUCUCACAGCUAAAUGCAUGACAUGGUUAUUACCUGAUAUCACUUCAUUUGUUGAAGUUGAUAUUAUGACAUGGUUAUUACCCUGCUAAUAUCACUUCAUUUCUUGAAGUUAAUAUUGUGAUUGAUAUGGAUAAGCAAUAAAUGAUAUUGCAAAUGAUAUUGUUCUCUCGUAAAUGAGGUUGAGAUUGUCCCUCUUCUAUUGAUAUUCAUAUCACAGAUUGCGGUUGAGAUAGCUUUGUCUUUAUGAGCUCAUAAGACAGUGAUGGCCUUUCGGAUUGAGUCUGCAUAAGGUGUGGAGACAAAACUAUUGAUUGAUGAUUGUAUUGAUAUGCCAUAAUAUCUUCAUAUAAAUUGAUUAUUUUUGGUGAGCAAAUGAAUUUAAUUUAGUUGAUAUGACUACUUGUUACUUCUAUUUAACCGGUUUGUUUUCAGUAAGCAAACGAUAAGAGUUGACUUAUGAGAGGUAAUAUUGAAGUUAUUUUUCACAUUUAAACAACUUAAAUAUCCAAUGGCACUAUUAAGUCUUAUGCUUAGCGAUAGUUAUUUCUAUACUAUCGCAGGAAGAAGGAAAGGAGUAAGUAGGAGAUUGAACAUGUAUAAUGCUAAGUCCCUUCUGCAGCAUAUGGAAGGUGAGCUACUGAAGUAGCUAUUACCUUAUUGGCAAACUUAUUGGAAUUUUUGUAUAAUGUAUAAGACAGAAACUGGUCACUAUUAUAUAUAUAUUUAGUAGACUAAUGCGACUGAAAGUUAUAUAAGUUUAUAAUCACUGAUAUACAUUAUAAAGCAUUCGAAUGGCGUAAUU